rnacentral:rRNA from 1 species
GAUGAACGCUGGCGGCGUGCCUAAUACAUGCAAGUCGAGCGAACAGAUGAGGAGCUUGCUCCUCUGACGUUAGCGGCGGACGGGUGAGUAACACGUGGAUAACCUACCUAUAAGACUGGGAUAACUUCGGGAAACCGGAGCUAAUACCGGAUAAUAUAUUGAACCGCAUGGUUCAAUAGUGAAAGACGGUUUUGCUGUCACUUAUAGAUGGAUCCGCGCCGCAUUAGCUAGUUGGUAAGGUAACGGCUUACCAAGGCAACGAUGCGUAGCCGACCUGAGAGGGUGAGCGGCCACACUGGAACUGAGACACGGUCCAGACUCCUACGGGAGGCAGCAGUAGGGAAUCUUCCGCAAUGGGCGAAAGCCUGACGGAGCAACGCCGCGUGAGUGAUGAAAGUCUUCGGAUCGUAAAACUCUGUUAUUAGGGAAGAACAAAUGUGUAAGUAACUAUGCACGUCUUGACGGUACCUAAUCAGAAAGCCACGGCUAACUACGUG